rnacentral:rRNA from 1 species
GACGGAGGGUGCUAGCGUUGUUCGGAAUGACUGGGCGUAAAGAGCGCGCAGGCGGUCGUUCAAGUCGCGUGUGAAAGCCCCCGGCUCAACUGGGGAGGGUCACGCGAUACUGAUCGACUCGAAGGCAGGAGAGGGUAGUGGAAUUCCCGGUGUAGUGGUGAAAUGCGUAGAUAUCGGGAGGAACACCAGUGGCGAAGGCGACUACCUGGCCUGUUCUUGACGCUGAGGCGCGAAAGCUAGGGGAGCAAACGGG